rnacentral:rRNA from 1 species
AGCAGCCGCGGUAAUUCCAGCUCCAAUAGCGUAUAUUAAAGUUGUUGCAGUUAAAAAGCUCGUAGUUGAAUUUCGGGGUCAGUAGAUUGGUCAUGCCACUGGUAUGUACUGGUCUCACUGAUUCCUCCUUCCUGAUGAGCCGUAAUGCCAUUAAUUUGGUGUUGCGAGGAAUCUGGACUGUUACUUUGAAAAAAUUAGAGUGUUUAAAGCAGGCUAACGCUUGAAUACAUUAGCAUGGAAUAAUGAAAUAGGACGUUCGAUCUUAUUUUGUUGGUUUCUAAGAUUGACGUAAUGAUUAAUAGGGAUAGUUGGGGGCAUUAGUAUUCAAUUGUCAGAGGUGAAAUUCUUGGAUUUAUUGAAGACUAACUACUGCGAAAGCAUUUGCCAAGGAUGUUUUCAUUAAUCAAGAACGAAAGUUAGGGGAUCGAAGACGAUCAGAUACCGUCGUAGUCUUAACCAUAAACUAUGCCGACUAGGGAUCGGAUGAUGUUAAUUUUUAAUGACUC